CGCAGUUUCAUGUCCACUGUAUUUACCAUAAAUGCUCUGCGACUCGCGCGCUAUAUUUCUCUCAGACGUCAUAUAGUUUCAGCUUUCCCAUUCCUUUUCCUUUCCUUUCCUUUCCCUUCCUUUACCCUUUCUUCGACUGAAACCCUCACCAACAACUACACCGUAGCCAUGUCACCUUAACACUUCAAUUAGCCGCAGGUGUCAACUUUGUAUCCUUGGCCGAAGCUAAUAUGUAACGCCCUGCCUCAACAUCUCGAUAGACCCCCUUCACAUUCUUGGGCAUUUCUAAUGAUUCCACUGCUUUUGGCAUUUUUUGAGGAUAUAUAUCAAGAUUAUUUCAAGAAUUCACACUUUUGAAGUUGGGUUCUGCUGUUGCUGAGCCACAUUGCCCUACCCUACCCAUCUAGUUGGAAAAUUUUGUUGAUGUAAGCUAAAUUAAUCAUAAAAAGUACUUGUUUUAGCUAAAGUUCAUUGAGUUUGCUCUGGGAUCUAUUGGGAACGGUAGAUUGAAGAAUAAUUUGGAUAGAAUUUGUUGGAUUGGCUUAGCUAAGUUUAUGUAAGUUGCUACCCAGAUUUUUGAUUUUUGGAGUUUUAUGUAUCCAAACUAAUCGGAGAAAUUCGAGAGUACACAAUCCAUAUGGAUCCCAAAGGCAGGUCAUUCAUUCAGUGCAUUUCAAGUGCUUUGCUUAUAAAAAUUGAUUAUCAAAUAGGAUUAUAGGACGCAGACAAAAAAAAGGAGGAAAGGAAAGGAUGGAUUAGAUGAUGAAGAAAUUACUUUUCAACGUAUGGUCGCCAAGGUUAGCGAAUCCUGUCACUUCUUUUUUCGAGCCUCUAGAUUAUGGAAGGUAAAAGUGUUUCUUUUAUGGUGAAUUUGGCAUCAUGUUUCUGUGAUAAUUUAAAGAACUUUUAAUUGAUUACGUUCUUAAGCUUACUUUUCAUUUUCUUUUUAUCCACCAUUUGGAUGAGCUGUAAGAAUUCUAAUGUUACGAUCCUUUUACAAGUUUCUGUCUGGCUGAUAUUGGCGGAAGGAAGGAAACGAAGCCGUGUGAUGAUCAGACGGAGAUUGUGAAAGCACUGGAAGUGAGUGAGAUUCGAUAGCAAUCUCCAGGAGCUUCACCUCUCUCUUUUCUUCUCUUCGUUUAGUCCUCUCACAGGAAGAUGACAAGUAUGAAUACUCAGAGCCAACCAAGAUUCAGAGUUUGGUGAAAAUAUUAUUCACAGUUUGUUUCAUUCCCCAUUUACACAUGGCCGAGAAGUCGAGGAAAUUUGAGGAUGGCAGAAGUGCUUUGUGUAUAUACAUUGAGCAAGAUCAUCCAUUGUUAGGAAUUUGUCUUCGAAUGCAAUUAUUAUUUGAAUCAAGCGAGGAAAAUGGACCAGGUAAUCUUUUUGAGUUUUAUAGCUAGAUUUCAUUGCAUUUUAAACUUCCUUUGAGGUUACAGUCCAUUUUUGUUUAGCCGUUACUAGACUUUUGGGGUAUAAAAUUCAAGUGGAGAUGAGAACCUUUUGCUAAUCAGAAUAAAACUAUAAUUUUGUAAAAGUUAGAAUUGAAUCGAACAAGUCCUGCUUUACUUAUCUUUUUUAACUCAUUUUGGGACAUGGGAUACGUGUUAUGUUGGUGGUAUGAAAUCAAGCAUCGACAAUACUUUUUAUUAAUUGCUCGAAGUCUGUAAAGACUCUACAUCAAACCAUUGCUAGAUAGCAUUCGAGAUGCCUCAAUAAUUCUCAGCUAUUUGGAAUCAAGAUAUCAUUCCGAAUUGUGGUUCAAAAUUUCUUCAACUAUGUAUUCAAUUUAAUCAACUCCAUGAUCCGUUAUGCCGAAUGCAUAUACUACA